AACGAACGCUGGCGGCGUGCCUAACACAUGCAAGUCGAACGGAAUCAGAGAGCUUGCUCUUUGGUUUAGUGGCGCACGGGUGAGUAACGCGUAGAUAAUCUGCCCUGGCAUCUGGGAUAACACUUCGAAAGGGGUGCUAAUACCGGAUAAGCCCACGACGGCUUUGGUCGUUGCGGGAAAAGGAGGGGACCUUCGGGCCUUCUGUGUCAGGAUGAGUCUGCGUACCAUUAGCUAGUUGGUGGGGUAAAGGCCUACCAAGGCGACGAUGGUUAGCUGGUCUGAGAGGAUGAUCAGCCACACUGGAACUGAGACACGGUCCAGACUCCUACGGGAGGCUG
rnacentral:rRNA from 1 species